rnacentral:rRNA from 1 species
AUUGAACGCUGGCGGAAUGCUUUACACAUGCAAGUCGAACGGAUUUAAGGAGCUUGCUUUUUAAGUUAGUGGCGAACGGGUGAGUAAUGCAUAGGAACGUACCCCGAAGUGGGGGAUAACGUAGCGAAAGUUACGCUAAUACCGCAUAUUUUUUGAGGAGGAAAGUGGGGGACCUUCGGGCCUCCCGCUUUUGGAGCGGCCUAUGUCCGAUUAGCUAGUUGGUGAGGUAAAGGCUCACCAAGGCGACGAUCGGUAGCUGGUUUGAGAGGAUGAUCAGCCCCCCUGGGACUGAGACCCGGCCCCGACUCCUUCGGGAGGCAGCAGUGGGGAAUUUUGGACAAUGGGCGCAAGCCUGAUCCAGCCCUUUCGCGUGGGUGAAGAAGGCCUUCGGGUUGUAAAGCCCUUUUGUCGGGGAGCAAAUCCUGCGUGUGAAUAAUGCGCGGGGAUGAGAGUACCUGGAGAAUAAGCACCGGCUAACUACGUG